rnacentral:rRNA from 1 species
UGGGGAAUCUUGGGCAAUGCCCGAAAGGGUGACCCAGCGACGCCGCGUGCGGGAAGAAGCCCUUCGGGGUGUAAACCGCUUUUCUGGGGGAAGAAUAAGGCGGGGAGGAUAAUGCCCCGCCGAUGACGGUACCCCAGGAAUAAGGGACGGCUAACUACGUGCCAGCAGCCGCGGUAAGACGUAGGUCCCGAGCGUUGCCCGGAUUUACUGGGCGUAAAGUGCGCGUAGGCGGUUCAGGAAGUCCCCUGUGAAAGCCCGGGGCUCAACCCCGGGAGGCCGGGGGAUACUCCUGGGCUAGAGGACGGCAGAGGAGGGUGGAGCGGCCGGAGUAGCGGUGAAAUGCGUAGAUACCGGCCGAAAUCCCGAUGGCGAAGGCAACCCUCUGGGCCGGUCCUGACGCUGAGGCGCGAAAGCGUGGGGAGCGAACC